rnacentral:ncRNA from 19 species
CUGUCAUCCAGAAAGGUGGAGGGACUGGCCCUGAGAAGCCUUGGCAACCGUCAUUCGUGAUUGGUGCCAAUUCCAACCCGGAGAGCUGUCCGGGAAAAGAUGAUGG